GACGAACGCUGGCGGCGUGCUUAACACAUGCAAGUCGAACGAAGUGGCGAACGGGUGAGUAACGCGUAAUCAACCUGCCCUUCAGAGGGGGACAACAGUUGGAAACGACUGCUAAUACCGCAUACUGAAGGAGGGGAUUGCGUCUGAUUAGCUAGUUGGAGGGGUAACGGCCCACCAAGGCGAUGAUCAGUAGCCGGUCUGAGAGGAUGAACGGCCACAUUGGGACUGAGACACGGCCCAGACUCCUACGGGAGGCAGCAGUGGGGAAUCUUCCGCAAUGGACGAAAGUCUGACGGAGCAACGCCGCGUGAGUGAUGACGGCCUUCGGGUUGUAAAGCUCUGUUGUUAAGGAAGCGGUACUUAACCAGAAAGGGACGGCUAACUACGUGCCAGCAGCCGCGGUAAUAC
rnacentral:rRNA from 1 species